CGGACGGCUGAGUAACGCGUGGGAACAUGCCCCAAAGUGAGGAAUAACUGCCCGAAAGGGUGGCUAAUGCCGCAUAUGAUCUUCGGAUUAAAGGAGUAAUCCGCUUUGGGAGUGGCCUGCGUACGAUUAGAUUGUUGGUGAGGUAAUGGCUCACCAAGUCGACGAUCGUUAACUGGUCUGAGAGGAUGAUCAGUCAGACUGGAACUGAGACACGGUCCAGACUCCUACGGGAGGCAGCAGUGAGGAAUCUUCCACAAUGGGCGAAAGCCUGAUGGAGCAACGCCGCGUGCAGGAUGAAGGCCUUCGGGUCGUAAACUGCUUUUAUGAGUGAAGAAUAUGACGGUAACUCAUGAAUAAGCACCGGCUAACUACGUGCCAGCAGCCGCGGUCAUACGUAGGGUGCAAGCAUUAUCCGGAGUGACUGGGCGUAAAGAGUUGCGUAGGUGGUUUGUUAAGUGAAUAGUGAAAUCUGGGGGCUCAACCUCACAGACUAUUAUUCAAACUGGCAAACUCGAGAAUGGUAGAGGUAACUGGAAUUUCUAGUGUAGGAGUGAAAUCCGUAGAUAUUAGAAGGAACACCAAUGGCGUAGGCAGGUUACUGGACCAUUUCUGACACUGAGGCACGAAAGCGUGGGGAGCGAACCGGAUUAGAUACCCGGGUAGUCCACGCCGUAAACGAUGGAUACUAGCUGUUGGGGGUAUCGACCCCCCCAGUAGCGAAGCUAACGCGUUAAGUAUCCCGCCUGUGGAGUACGGUCGCAAGACUAAAACAUAAAGGAAUUGACGGGGACCCGCACAAGCGGUGGGAUUGUGUUCUUUAAUUCGAUGAUAAACGGAGAACCUUACCAGGGUUUGACAUCCCGAGAAUUUUGCCGAAAGGCGAGAGUGCUUUAUUGAACUCGGUGACAGGUGAUGCAUGGCCGUCGUCAGCUCGUGUCGUGAGAUGUUUGGUUAAGUCCAUCAACGAGCGCAACCCUUGUGAUUAGUUGUAUUUUUCUAAUCAGACUGCCCCGGUAACGGGGAGGACAGGAGGGGGAUGAUGUCAGGUCAGUAUUUCCCUUACAUCCUGGGCUAGAAACGCAAUACAAUGGCCAGUACAAUGUGCAGCGAAGCCGCGAGGUGAAGCAAAUCACAUCAAAGCUGGUCCCAGUUCAGAUAAGAGGCUGAAACU
rnacentral:rRNA from 1 species